GAUAGGAGAGGGCUAUGGACGUGCAGAACAGUAAACGGGGACGACCAUGGCCCACCGCGGACCCGCGGGCUUGGACAUAGAGGCGGCCGGUGCGACAGCAGCGCGAGGAACAGUUGCCACCACGCAGGAGAAUCCGCGGGUGAAUGUUGGCGGUUGGUCUCGAGCGGGGCGCGCGCCCUGGAUGCUCGUGCGAUUCGCUGGUCUCGAGACGUCCUGCAUGACAAUCUACACUUCUGCACCCCUGGUGAAAGAGUGUAUCCACACUGGCAGGCCCCCCCCGCCCCCACCAUCGCAACCGCCACCACCAGUGAAAACACGAAAACCAGAGACGCAAACACUUCAAGAACUGCACUGAACCACAGAGAAGGAUUUCACUCUGACGCCACAGAAAAGAGAUCCAAGGAGCCAUCAUCUGGCGGCUGGCUCCUCUGUGGACUCCAAGAGAAGCAACGCAACCUUCGGUUGUAGGACGAUGUGGCCCAGACUCUCUCCUCAGCCCGAAAGCUAGUGGAGGGAACAAAAAAAGGUUGGAUCCUUCCGGAACAACGAAGCUGCAAACAAUGUAACAACGACGGACGGCGCUGUGAUUCUGAUGCGCCCUGAGCGACAACAUUGGGCUGAGUGUGGAGGAGGGAGCCAUACGCUGAGGGACACACGAGGGACUGGCGGGAUGCCAGAAUCUAUUUCUACAUAAACUGAGAGAAAGUUGGACUAUCAUGAAGAUAAUCUGGGACUAAACUCACCCAAGGGGAGUGUGUGUGUCUGUAUGUGUGUGUGUGUGUGCGUGUGUGUUUGUCUUUGUGUUUGUAUGUGUGUGUGUGUGUGUGAGAGAGAGAGAGUAAGAGAGUGAGAGAGAGAGAGAGAGAGAGAGAGAGAGAGAGAGAAAUGUAUAUAUUUGUGUGUGUGUGUGUGUGUGUGUGUGUGUGUGUGUGUGUGUGCGUGCGUGUGUGUGUGUGUGCGUAUGUGGAACACUGUGUUCUCAGGAACCAUUUUGCACAGCUGUUCGUUAUAUAUCUGUACUAUGUAGGUCAGAGCUUAGACAGGACACACACACACACACACAAACACACAACCACCCGCACACAAUCACACAGACAAACACACACACACACACGAACACACACGAAGACACUGACACACAAAAACACAUUUUAAAUAAUUGUUUCAUCGCUCAGUCACAAUUAGUUAAAACAGCUAAAUAAAUAACUGCAAUAGAAAUAGAAAACAUAGAGUGAAAUAUCUAAUAGUGGAUUUUUGACAAUCAUUGAGACUGAAUAACUUGAAACAUAUUCAUUGACAAUCCCUCUCGCAAUCUCUAUUUUUUUAGCUGAUUUUUUCAAGUAUAAAUAAGGUUAAGAAGUAUCACAAUGCUAAAUAUUGCACCUAGAUAGCGUUAUUUGAAAUUAACUCAUAUUUUAGAAAACACAUUUUAUGACACAUUUGCUUUUGCUUGGAUUGUCUUAAAAAAGACUAAGCAAAGCAAAAGUAAAUUAGGAAAUCAAUUAAAUGUCACUAUUUUAUAUUUUAGAAAGCAAAUUAUAAUUUGCUGACACCACCGUCAGUGUGUGAAUGUGUGGAUGAAUGGGUGAAUGUGAGGCCAUAAUUGUCAAGCGCUUUGAGUGGCUGCUGGUGGGUAAAGGGCUGUAUAAAUGCAGUCCAUUUACCAUUUUUGUGUCUAUGCAAGGGAGUUUGUUAUGUCAUCUCCUACUCUGUAAACUACUGAGUUCACUCUGUUUCAGUAGUGAAAUGUAUUGUGAGUUGUUCCCUUUGUUUGGAAUUGAUGGGUGGGAUGGUGAAUGACGGACAACACAUGUGUACUACAGGGCACAGGUGCAAUUUUUUCUUUUGAUAACUUUUUGAAUAGUUUAUAUUUCUAGUAUUGGUAUUUUGAAGAACUUGGUGUCUUAUUUGACUAUUUUAUAUUGUUUAUACCUGAAUGUUUACAUUUGACUUGUAAAACUGCAGGGGUAAAACCUAUAUAUA
ensembl:lncRNA